rnacentral:lncRNA from 1 species
AAUUUUUUUAUUGAAAUGACAAUAAAAUAAAAUAAGAACAGUGAACAUUUUAAUCAAACUUUACCUUUACAAUUAUAAAAAUAUAACCAAAACUUCAGUUUCUUUUAUACAUUUUUCUAUAAACCUAACGCCAGAAUAAUUCUCAAAGCCAAACUAUAAAUGAUUCUUGUACACUGUGAUGUGAACACAGCAACCAAAGUUUAAGUUUUUAAAGCACUGAUCUUUCCCUUAACAGAACAUGAUACAU